GCUCCGGCCUCGGCCGCACCCCCGCCGGCUCGCCGCCGCCGCCUCCCCACAGCGGACUAGUCUGCGAGGGCGGCGACCAGCCCGGCUUAUUUAAAAGGGGUGGGGACCCGACAAGCGCUGGGAGACGCAGCCACUGCGGGCCGAGAGCGCGGCCGGAGCUCCUCCUCCUUCCGUCGCCGCCUCCGGACUGAAGGCCGCUAGCCGGCUCCUGCCAACCGGAACGCGCUCCGCGGUCACCUGGUGACGGGUAGCCAAUCAGACCUGGAUUUCCCUCCACGCACCCGCCUACGGCCCAGGCACGUGACUCACAAAGCCCCUCCCCGUCCCUCAAGCUGAGCCGCGCGGACUCUGAUUUCCAUUCAUCGCGAGCUGAGCGGAGUUGGGCUCCAGCUUGGCAGCUGCGGCAGUUUGUUACUCGAGGCCGCGCUUCAAGGCGGGCCCCGAAGGCCCAGCCUGGUGGAGAGUUGAUUUUAUCAGCAGUGUGGUUUCUCCAUGUUUGACAGCUUCCCUUUGCUCACCCAAGCACCUGCCAGAACCAUGUGAUAGUCUGGACGUUUCCUGGCCUCCUUGUAAAGAAGAUAAAGGGACACCCACACCCUUGGAUGUGUUUCUGAGUGUUGUCCUGAUCUUUCCAAACAUUUCAUCAGAAGACCCAGAUAGUAGUGUGGGCCAAAGAACAGAGCCAGCCUUUGUGCUGAGGAUCCCAUCACCACCCAUUGCUGAAGAAGAAUCAGGCCCCAGGACGGUAUGGAAAACACACCUGACACUACAAAUCUAGACUGUGAAACUGGCUCUCACCACAUGCCGUCUUCUCACCCUUCUCCACUGAAAAAGAAAAGGGAAAUGUAUGAUAACCAAUUAGAAGAGGACAGGGAAUCCUCUAUUAAAGCUUAAUAGUAAUUACUAUAUUUAGCUUCUUACAGAACUAAAAAAUACAUAUUAUUGUAAAGAUGUUAAGAACUGCACAUAAAGAUGAAAAUAAAACCAGACCCCAUCCCAGGAUACCCCUGCUUUUUUAGCAUUUUAUGGCAUACUUCCCUAAACUUUAAUAAAAUGUUUCAGUGAUUUAAAAGUGAAACAGUGCUACCUAUAUAGUUUCUCUGUCUU
rnacentral:lncRNA from 14 species